GGGGGUAUAGCUCAGUGGUAAAGUGCAUGCCUAGCAUGCAUGAGGUGCUGGGUUCGAUUCCCAGUACCUCCA
rnacentral:tRNA from 1 species